ensembl:lncRNA
CUCGUAGUAACUGUCUCCAUCGUGCAAUCAGCAUUUGCUCAUCAAACCUAAAAGGGAACUUUGAUAGCAAAUCCCACUUGAAAGAGAGCAUUUAUAGGGACAUCAUUUGCCAGAAGGACUCACUACUUCUUGCAGCAGCACAUCUUAGGAAAAAAGAAGAUAGCAUCUCAUUGAAAUGAGAACCUGAAUAGCACUCACAGUGAUGGAGGACAGUCUUCUAAAUUGCAGAACGAUUAAAUCCAGCUCUGAUGGUUGAUUUCUUGACCUCAGAGACAGCUAAUCCUCAGAUACAGAAAAUGGAGGCUUUUCCUUUUUUGACCGGAAGAAGGCUUUUUGGCUCUAGAGUCUGCCCAUCAGCAACAAAGGAGGAAGAAAAAUUCUCAGUGCUUUGGGAAUCUCUCAGCAUUACUCAUCCUCACGAGUGGGCCAAAAUUUAUGCAAGGAGCAACGAAGUUCUCAGAUGUGUUCUCCAGGAGCUUCAGACAGAUGCUGAAUCACUGCACAAAGGGGGAAACGAGCCGUUUCGAAGAAUCACAAGCCAACAAAUUCACCAGCAGAAACGGGAGAGAAGGGGCAUUGCAGAAUCAUUUCAAGAGGACCAGUAG